rnacentral:tRNA from 1 species
AGAAAACCAGGACUCGAACCUACACCUAAUAGAUCAAAACUAUUUGUACUUCACUAUACUAUUUCCUA